GAUGAACGCUGGCGGCGUGCCUAAUACAUGCAAGUCGAGCGAACAGACGAGGAGCUUGCUCCUCUGACGUUAGCGGCGGACGGGUGAGUAACACGUGGAUAACCUACCUAUAAGACUGGGAUAACUUCGGGAAACCGGAGCUAAUACCGAAUAAUAUAUUGAACCGCAUGGUUCAAUAGUGAAAGACGGUUUUGCUGUCACUUAUAGAUGGAUCCGCGCCGCAUUAGCUAGUUGGUAAGGUAACGGCUUACCAAGGCAACGAUGCGUAGCCGACCUGAGAGGGUGAUCGGCCACACUGGAACUGAGACACGGUCCAGACUCCUACGGGAGGCAGCAGUAGGGAAUCUUCCGCAAAGGGCGAAAGCUUGACGGAGCAACGCCGCGUGAGUGAUGAAGGUCUUCGGAUCGUAAAACUCUGUUAUUAGGGAAGAACAAAUGUGUAAGUAACUAUGCACGUCUUGACGGUACCUAAUCAGAAAGCCACGGCUAACUACGUG
rnacentral:rRNA from 1 species